AGAUUCUCUUUGGCCAGUGGCUCUGAAGACAUCAUCAUUAGGUGACCUGACUGAGUGGAGUGGGAGCACAAGCAGACAUGUUUCCAUGUGACCCCUCGAAGCAUGUAAAUGGAGGCGCUGUCACCCAGGAAGCGACCACUCCCAUCAGAUAAAACCGUUCCAUCGCAGGAUAAAGGAGUUGUAAAGUUGGCACCAUGAUGAUUUGGUCUCUCAACCCUCCCAAGCUUCUGAAGCUUGAAGUUUAAGAGCCGGGCCAUUUGAUUAACUGGAAUGGACACCGAAGUGAGGCUGGGCGUUUUAUGGAACAGUACAGACACAUACAUCCACCACGCUCGU